UGUUGAUUGUGCCUCGUGCACGUAGGAAGGAAUACACGCUUUUCCUUGGUUCAGUAUAUGUAACGUUACAGCAGAUUUGAUGUGGGCAGUAAAGCUGAGCCUUUAACUGAGUUUUCCAGCUCCCUUACUUCAUUCCUUCCUGGACAGGCUACUUUUUCUGGGACUAGGACGCUUUGAUUUCCCUCAGCCAGUUCCUUCUGGAAGCUGAAGAUCAGCAGAUAAAAACCUGUUGCCUUUUACCCUUUCCUCCCUGGGGCAUGAAGACUUUCUCAACUUCUCUCUGAGCCCCAGGAGUGGCUGGGGCCUUUGUGCUGCAGGUAAGGGGUAAUGCCAUGUCACCAUCCUUGAGGGCAGGACUGUGAGCCCAUGUACUAGGUUCGAAGUCCAGUACGGUCAGACCUAAUCGCU
rnacentral:lncRNA from 1 species